CCUACGGGGCGCAGCAGUGAGGAAUAUUGGUCAAUGGGCGUAAGCCUGAACCAGCCAAGUCGCGUGAGGGAUGAAGGUUCUAUGGAUCGUAAACCUCUUUUAUAAGGGAACAAAGUGCGGGACGUGUCCCGUUUUGUAUGUACCUUAUGAAUAAGGAUCGGCUAACUCCGUGCCAGCAGCCGCGGUAAUACGGAGGAUCCGAGCGGUAUCCGGAUUUAUUGGGUUUAAAGGGUGCGUAGGCGGCCUUUUAAGUCAGCGGGGAAAGUCUGUGGCUCAACCAUCGAAUUGCCGUUGAAACUGGGGGGCUUGUGUAUGUUUGAGGCAGGCGGAAUGCGUGGUGUAGCGGUGAAAUGCUUAGAGAUCACGCAGAACGCCGAUUGCGAAGGCAGCCUGCCAAGCCAUGACUGACGCUGAUGCACGAAAGCGUGGGGAUCAAACAGGAUUAGAUACCCCUGUAGUC
rnacentral:rRNA from 1 species